GACGAACGCUGGCGGCGUGCUUAACACAUGCAAGUCGAACGGAAAGGCCCUGCUUUUGUGGGGUGCUCGAGUGGCGAACGGGUGAGUAACACGUGAGUAACCUGCCCUUGACUUUGGGAUAACUUCAGGAAACUGGGGCUAAUACCGGAUAGGAGCUCCUGCUGCAUGGUGGAGGUUGGAAAGUUUCGGCGGUUGGGGAUGGACUCGCGGCUUAUCAGCUUGUUGGUGGGGUAGUGGCUUACCAAGACUUUGACGGGUAGCCGGCCUGAGAGGGUGACCGGCCACAUUGGGACUGAGAUACGGCCCAGACUCCUACGGGAGGCAGCAGUGGGGAAUAUUGCACAAUGGGCGGAAGCCUGAUGCAGCAACGCCGCGUGCGGGAUGACGGCCUUCGGGUUGUAAACCGCUUUCGCCUGUGACGAAGCGUGAGUGACGGUAAUGGGUAAAGAAGCACCGGCUAACUACGUG
rnacentral:rRNA from 1 species